AUUGAACGCUAGCGGGAUGCUUUACACAUGCAAGUCGAACGGCAGCGCAGACUUCGGUCUGGCGGCGAGUGGCGAACGGGUGAGUAAUGUAUCGGAACGUGCCCAGUAGCGGGGGAUAACUACGCGAAAGCGUGGCUAAUACCGCAUACGCCCUACGGGGAAAGGGGGGGAGUCUUCGGACCUCUCACUAUCGGAGCGGCCGAUAUCGGAUUAGCUAGUUGGUGGGGUAAAGGCCUACCAAGGCG
rnacentral:rRNA from 1 species